rnacentral:tRNA from 1 species
GUCCCGAUGGUCCAAUGGAUAAGACAGUAGAUUCCGGUUCUACCAAUGUGGGUUCGAUUCCUACUCGGGACGCCA